rnacentral:rRNA from 1 species
GACGAACGCUGGCGGCGCGCCUAACACAUGCAAGUCGAACGAGCGAGAGAGAGCUUGCUUUCUCGAGCGAGUGGCGAACGGGUGAGUAACGCGUGAGGAACCUGCCUCAAAGAGGGGGACAACAGUUGGAAACGACUGCUAAUACCGCAUAAGCCCACGACCCGGCAUCGGGUAGAGGGAAAAGGAGCAAUCCGCUUUGAGAUGGCCUCGCGUCCGAUUAGCUAGUUGGUGAGGUAACGGCCCACCAAGGCGACGAUCGGUAGCCGGACUGAGAGGUUGAACGGCCACACUGGGACUGAGACACGGCCCAGACUCCUACGGGAGGCAGCAGUGGGGAAUAUUGAACAAUGGGGGAAACCCUGAUGCAGCCACGCCGCGUGGAGGAAGAAGGUCUUCGGAUUGUAAACUCCUGUUGUUGAGGAAGCUAAUGACGGUACUCAACAAGGAGGUGACGGCUAACUACGUG